AGCGAACGCUGGCGGCAGGCUUAACACAUGCAAGUCGAGCGGGCCCUUCGGGGUCAGCGGCGGACGGGUGAGUAACGCGUGGGAACGUGCCUUCUGGUCUGGAAUAACCCUGGGAAACUAGGGCUAAUACCGGAUACGCCCUUUUGGGGAAAGGUUUACUGCCGGAAGAUCGGCCCGCGUCUGAUUAGCUAGUUGGUGGGGUAACGGCCUACCAAGGCGACGAUCAGUAGCUGGUCUGAGAGGAUGAUCAGCCACACUGGGACUGAGACACGGCCCAGACUCCUACGGGAGGCAGCAGUGGGGAAUAUUGGGCAAUGGGCGCAAGCCUGAUCCAGCCAUGCCGCGUGAGUGAUGAAGGCCUUAGGGUUGUAAAGCUCUUUUAUCCGGGACGAUAAUGACGGUACCGGAGGAAUAAGCCCCGGCUAACUUCGUG
rnacentral:rRNA from 1 species